rnacentral:lncRNA from 1 species
CCGCCCCUCAACCAACCCCCAGGCGGCAAGGCCCUCUCCACGCGCGCUCUCCAGCCUGGCGGGGCCCUGGAAGCCGGGACACGCGGAGGCCGGGAGGGUCAUCGGCGUUUAAGGCAGCCUCCCACACCAAGUGCACCGCCCGGAUCCCCUCUGCACGAGGGCUUUCUGCUUAUUGCUCUUUUCCCCAGCAGCCAGAAUCGUCACCGUAGCGCGGGAAGGGGCCUCGCGGGCCGUCUGCAGCAGGUGCGGCCGGGAGCCGCAGGCCCGCGCGGAUUCCUGCGGAGCUGUAUUUACUUUACAUCCAUGUGAACUGCUGUCAUCACUACUGUGUCCAAGCCCAGAGGAUGAACUGGAAAAGAAGAGAGGGGGAAAAUAAUAAAAAGAGGAAAUUGGUUUUCACAACACACUCAAAGCCUGAGUAACAGAGGAGAACUUUAAUUAUCUCCAGUCACAAAGAGAGACAGGAAAUUUGGACUUUUAAUUAGCCAUUUGGAGUGCAGUUGGGUAU